rnacentral:rRNA from 1 species
AGUGAACGCUGGCGGUAGGCCUAACACAUGCAAGUCGAACGGCAGCACAGUAAGAGCUUGCUCUUACGGGUGGCGAGUGGCGGACGGGUGAGGAAUAAAUCGGAAUCUACUUUUUCGUGGGGGAUAACGUAGGGAAACUUACGCUAAUACCGCAUACGACCUACGGGAGAAAGCAGGGGAUCUUCGGACCUUGCGCGAUUGAAUGAGCCGAUGUCGGAUUAGCUAGUUGGCGGGGUAAAGGCCCACCAAGGCGACGAUCCGUAGCUGGUCUGAGAGGAUGAUCAGCCACACUGGAACUGAGACACGGUCCAGACUCCUACGGGAGGCAGCAGUGGGGAAUAUUGGACAAUGGGCGCAAGCCUGAUCCAGCCAUACCGCGUGGGUGAAGAAGGCCUUCGGGUUGUAAAGCCCUUUUGUUGGGAAAGAAAAUCAGCAGGUUAAUACCCCGCUGUUCUGACGGUACCCAAAGAAUAAGCACCGGCUAACUUCGUG